GGGCCCUUAGCUCAGUCGGCAGAGCAACUGACUUUUAAUCAGUAGGUCGCUGGUUCGAACCCAGCAGGGCUCACCA
rnacentral:tRNA from 1 species